AGGGGCUGUGGUUUGUCAGAGAUCAGCUGUGAUUAUCUGGCAGCAGCUCUGAAGUCCAACCCCUCCCAUCUGAGAGAGCUGCACUUGACCUACAACAACCAGCAGGAUUCAGGAGUGAAGCAGCUGUGUGGCUUUCUUGCGAGUCCAGAAUGUGCACUUGAAACUCUGAGAUUGAGGGACUGUGGUUUGUCAAAGAUCAGCUGUGAUUAUCUGGCAGCAGCGCUGAAGUCCAACCCCUCCCAUCUGAGAAAGCUGGAGCUGAGUGGAAACUACCUGAAGGAUCCAGAUGUGAAGCAGCUGUGUGAUCUUCAGCAGAGUCCAGACUACAGACUGGAGUAUCUGCUGUGGAGGUGAUGAUGGUAAACAGGACUGUGUGUGUG